AGGACGAACGCUGGCGGCGUGCUUAACACAUGCAAGUCGAACGGCAGCACGGGGGCAACCCUGGUGGCGAGUGGCGAACGGGUGAGUAAUGCAUCGGAACGUAUCUUCAAGUGGGGGAUAACGCAUCGAAAGAUGCGCUAAUACCGCAUAAUCUCCGAGGAGAAAAGCAAGGGAUCGCAAGACCUUGCGCUUUUGGAGCGGCCGAUGUCUGAUUAGCUAGUUGGUGAGUAAAGGCUUACCAAGGCUUCGAUCAGUAGCUGGUCUGAGAGGACGACCAGCCACACUGGGACUGAGACACGGCCCAGACUCCUACGGGAGCAGCAGUGGGGAAUUUCCGCAAU
rnacentral:rRNA from 1 species